GGAAGCAUAGCUCAGCGGGAGAGCACCUGCUUGACGUGCAGGGGGUCGGGGGUUCAAAUCCCUCUGUUUCCACCA
rnacentral:tRNA from 1 species